rnacentral:rRNA from 1 species
UACAGAGACUGCAAGCGUUAUUCGGAUUCACUGGGCGUAAAGGGUGCGCAGGCGGUUGGGUGUGUCAGAUGUGAAAUCCCGAGGCUUAACCUCGGAACUGCGUCUGAAACUACUCGACUAGAGUACUGGAGAGGGAAACAGAAUUCACGGUGUAGCAGUGAAAUGCGUAGAUAUCGUGAGGAACACCAGAGGCGAAGGCGGUUUCCUGGACAGUUACUGACGCUCAGGCACGAAAGCAUGGGGAGCAAAAGGG